UACGAAGGGGGCUAGCGUUGUUCGGAAUCACUGGGCGUAAAGCGCACGUAGGCGGGCGUGUCAGUCAGGGGUGAAAUCCCGGAGCUCAACUCCGGAACUGCCUCUGAUACAGCACGUCUUGAGUUCGAGAGAGGUGGGUGGAAUUCCUAGUGUAGAGGUGAAAUUCGUAGAUAUUAGGAAGAACACCGGUGGCGAAGGCGGCCCGCUGGCUCGAUACUGACGCUGAGGUGCGAAAGCGUGGGGAGCAAACAGG
rnacentral:rRNA from 1 species